GCUUAACACAUGCAAGUCGAGCGAGAACCGCAGGCGGGGUAACCCACCCGCGGGGAAAGCGGCGAACGGGUGAGUAACACGUGGGCAACCUGCCCCAGACUCUGGGAUAACCUCGGGAAACCGGGGCUAAUACCGGGUACUCUCGCCGGAUCGCAUGGUCCGGUGAGGAAAGCUCCGGCGGUCUGGGAUGGGCCCGCGGCCUAUCAGCUUGUUGGUGAGGUAACGGCCCACCAAGGCGACGACGGGUAGUUUGCGUGAGGGCGUGACCAACCACACUGGGACUGAGACACGGCCCAGACUCCUACGGGAGGCAGCAGUGGGGAAUCUUGGGCAAUGGGCGAAAGCCUGACCCAGCGACGCCGCGUGGGGGAUGAAGGCCCUCGGGUUGUAAAGCACUUUCAGUAAGGAGGAAGCGUUGAGUGUUAAUAGUACUCAGCGUUGACGUUACUUACAGAAGAAGCACCGGCUAACUC
rnacentral:rRNA from 1 species